GUAGGUGGCAAGCGUUGUCCGGAAUUAUUGGGCGUAAAGCGCGCGCAGGUGGUUCUUUAAGUCUGAUGUGAAAGCCCCCGGCUCAACCGGGGAGGGUCAUUGGAAACUGGGGAACUUGAGUGCAGGAGAGGAAAGUGGAAUUCCACGUGUAGCGGUGAAAUGCGUAGAUAUGUGGAGGAACACCAGUGGCGAAGGCGACUUUCUGGCCUGUAACUGACACUGAGGCGCGAAGGCGUGGGGAGCAAACAGGGAUUAGAUACCCUGGUAGUCCACGCCGUAAACGAUGAGUGCUAAGUGUUGGGGGGGUUUCCGCCCCCUCAGUGCUGCAGCUAACGCAUUAAGCACUCCGCCCUGGGAGUACGGUCGCAAGACUG
rnacentral:rRNA from 1 species